rnacentral:snoRNA from 1 species
GCCAUAAGAUGUUAAACAGAUUGCAUUAGCAUUUUUGUGCGAAGAUGACUUGCUAUCUAUCACCCAAGUACUGAUGGCC